GGAGUUAGCCGGUGCUUCUUCUGUGAGUGAUGUCCUUCCUGCCGGUUAUUGACCCGCAGGCCUUCUUCCUCACUGAAAGUGCUUUACAACCCGAAGGCCUUCUUCACACACGCGGCAUGGCUGGAUCAGGGUUGCCCCCAUUGUCCAAUAUUCCCCACUGCUGCCUCCCGUAGGAGUCUGGGCCGUGUCUCAGUCCCAGUGUGGCUGAUCAUCCUCUCAGACCAGCUACGGAUCGUCGCCUUGGUGAGCCGUUACCUCACCAACCAGCUAAUCCGACAUAGGCUCAUCCGAUAGCGCGAGGCCCGAAGGUCCCCCGCUUUCCCCCGUAGGGCGUAUGCGGUAUUAGCCUGGGUUUCCCCAGGUUAUCCCCCACUACCGGGCAGAUUCCUAUGCAUUACUCACCCGUCCGCCGCUCGCCACCAGGGAGCAAGCUCCCCGUGCUGCCGCUCGACUUGCAUGUGUUAGGCCUGCCGACCAGCGUUCAAUCCUGAGCCAGGAUCAAACUCUGA
rnacentral:rRNA from 1 species